UACGUAGGGGGGCAAGCGUUGUCCGGAAUUAUUGGGCGUAAAGCGCGCGCAGGCGGUCAUUUAAGUCUGGUGUUUAAUCCCCGGGGCUCAACCCCCGGAUCGCACUGGAAACUGGGUGACUUGAGUGCAGAAGAGGAGAGUGGAAUUCCACGUGUAGCGGUGAAAUGCGUAGAUAUGUGGAGGAACACCAGUGGCGAAGGCGACUCUCUGGGCUGUAACUGACGCUGAGGCGCGAAAGCGUGGGGAGCAAACAGG
rnacentral:rRNA from 1 species